UCUUAUCGAGAGAGGCGGAGGGAAAGGCCCGAUGAAGCCCAGCAACCGAUUCGCCCGUGAUGCGCAAGUCAUGCCGCAUUCGUCACGGGACCGAAUGUCAUGGUGCUAAUUCCUUCAAAACCACUGCGUUUGUUAACAGAUGGUUUUGGCAGAUG
rnacentral:ncRNA from 1 species